UACACUCCUACGGGAGGCAGCAGUGGGGAAUAUUGGACAAUGGGCGCAAGCCUGAUCCAGCCAUGCCGCGUGAGUGAUGAAGGCCCUAGGGUUGUAAAGCUCUUUCACCGGUGAAGAUAAUGACGGUAACCGGAGAAGAAGCCCCGGCUAACUUCGUGCCAGCAGCCGCGGUAAUACGAAGGGGGCUAGCGUUGUUCGGAUUUACUGGGCGUAAAGCGCACGUAGGCGGACUAUUAAGUCAGGGGUGAAAUCCCGGGGCUCAACCCCGGAACUGCCUUUGAUACUGGUAGUCUUGAGUUCGAGAGAGGUGAGUGGAAUUCCGAGUGUAGAGGUGAAAUUCGUAGAUAUCCGGAGGAACACCAGUGGCGAAGGCGGCUCACUGGCUCGAUACUGACGCUGAGGUGCGAAAGCGUGGGGAGCAAACAGGAUUAGAAACCCGAGUAGUCCCA
rnacentral:rRNA from 1 species